rnacentral:rRNA from 1 species
UACGAACCGUACAAACGUUAUUCGGAAUCACUGGGCUUAAAGGGUGCGUAGGCGGCCAUGUAAGUGAGGUGUGAAAUCCCUCGGCUCAACCGAGGAACUGCGCUUCAUACUGCAUUGCUUGAGGGAGACAGGGGUAAGCGGAACUGAUGGUGGAGCGGUGAAAUGCGUUGAUAUCAUCAGGAACACCGGUGGCGAAAGCGGCUUACUGGGUCGCUUCUGACGCUGAGGUACGAAAGCUAGGGGAGCGAACGGG